UUCCUUGAAAUCUUCUAUCUCUCACUUCUAGAGCAUCCUAGCUAUUGGGAAACUCCAAAUCAAGUUAUUUUCAUCUAAGGAUCACUUUGUAAGUGUUCCUUUCAGUUACAUUUCGUUUAGUAGGCUUUUAAAGCCGAAAAGCCAAGCGUUUACGAUAAACGCUUUGACUUUUAGCUAGACCUUAAAAGGUCAAGCCAUUGUUCGCAACGAACAUGGCUACGUGAUCAUAAUUAGGUAGGUGUUAAUCCCUCAAAAGGGCACCUCCUAAGAAUCACGUUUGCUUGGUCAAUUGACUAGUCAACGAAAGGGCACCUCCUAAGAAUCACGUUUGCUUGGUCAAUUGACUAGUCAACGUAAUAUUGUUUUAAAAGUCAACGGGUCAGUUUUUAAAAUAAUUGCGAUAUGAGUUUAGAAGUGUUCUAAAAUAAGUUUUUUCAUUUAAACAACUUGGUAAUAAUUAUUAGAACAUGUGUAAACAUGUUCGACUCGUCAAUUCCAGUUUUAGGGUCGGUUCACAACCGAAAGUCGCGAAGUUUGACUUCUGCGUUGACUUUCGAUUAUGAACUGAAUUAGAUUAGUUACUACUGAUUUUUAGGUUUCGUUAUGAUUGUAAGAUAAUGUAGCAUAACCCUAUAAGGUUAUAUUACACGAUCAUACUAGAAAUUUGAGUUUUUGCGCAUAUUCCGUUAAGAUGCCGUACUUUGACUAUUACGCCCUUUUUAGCAAAAAUAAGGUUUUAGACACCAAUAAGCUUUCAAAAAACUUAGAUACUGAUAUGUUAACAUGUUUAACAUAUUUCGAUGUUACGAACCUGAUCAUAAACUGAGUUUGCAUGAAAUAUCGUAAUUUAUGCUUUAAAUUUGACUAAAAUGCCCUUUAGGCGCAUAGAUCGGGUUUAAGCAUAAGUUUUCAUACCAAACUCAUUUCCUAUUGAUGUAAUAUCAUAAUUAGGAUAAUUUGGGAUAUCCAUUCAGUUUACAAAUUGAGUUUACGCAUAUAUUCUUGAAUUAUAUCCUUAAAUGACGAUAAUGCCCUUUUUGCACCUAAAAUGAUGUAAAAGCAUAAUUUUCAUACAAAACCUUUUUAUUACUGAUAUGUUAUAUUAAUUAACAUAUUUAGAUCAUAUAAACUUGAUCAUAACGUCAGUUUUCCUUAAACAUCGCACAUAUCUUCAUUUAGCGACUUUAACGCCGUUUCGGCUCGUAGGAUGGCGUUAAACCAUAACUACCAUUCAAGACAUGUUACCUACUGACUUUAUAAAUUUAUUUUAAAUAAUUUUAACAGUAGGUAUAUUAUAUAAACUCAUAUUCCCAAAUUAGCCUUCAAAACUAUGUGUGAAAUUACCAAAAUGCCCCUAUGGAGCGCAGUUUGGUUUUAAACUAUCAAACACACAUAUGUUUGAUAUCCUACUGAUAUUAUAUCAUUAAUAUAGUAUUUUCAAAGAAUGUUCAUGAUCGUAACAUCAGAUUGUACUCAAAUUCCUUUUAUACGUCAUAAAAUGACCAAAACGCCCUUAUGAGGUAUAGUUUGAUUUUAAAACCUUAAUGGGCAUACAAGUUGAUAUCCUACUGAUAUUGUAACUUGUUUAAAGUAUAUUGGCAUAUGGAACUUGUUCAUGACUUAUCCGGUUACUUGUCAUGGCUUAUACGCGUAUGGUUAGACUUACGUAACUAGUUUACGUAAGUUUACCGAAACGAGUUAAACCUUAUCAUUUUUACUUCAAAAUCCAUAAUGUAUUUAGGUUACCCAUAUUAUACAAGUCUUCAUACUUGUUGGGUCUAAAUUACAUUCCAUUCCGGUCAUCACUUAAUCUAGCGAAUUGUACUGUUUCUGAUACUUUAAGUUAGCUGGUUUAGGUCUAUGACCUAAAUAAGACCUGUUAGCAUUCUAAAUUAGUUAUAUAUUACCAUCAUUCCAAACUAGGGCCUCCCGGUAAAAGUUAUCUGCAUUUAGUUAGAUUGGAUACGGCUGAGUUAUAUAAAUUUUGCUGUGAAUCAAGUAGUAGCUCAGGUAAAUACUUUUAACUUAUUUUCCCUUAUACGGGCUUGGGAUACGGUAAAUUAUUACCGCUUGGUCAGGUAUGGUAUCACUUGGUCGGAUUGUGAUUGACAAAUCCACAAAACCCGUUUUAAUCUGUAUUGUUUGGUAACAUAAACAUUUGGGGGUUAAUGCGUCCGUGUCUUGGAUAUCCUUGGCUCAUUUAAUUGCAAAUGGCCACGACUUAAGCACGGGGUGUAGGCAUACACCUGACAGAUGCCAAUAUGCAAAUUACCCACGAGUUGGGGAUAACUCCUCUGUGGGUUUUAUAAGUGGUGUGUCGAUUAAUCAUGUCUCGGCUUCUAUCCCGGGCCCUAAACGUAUGACAAACAUGUAAAUCUGUAUACAAGAUUAUAAGUAUAAUUGUCCCAAGUUAUUAAUGAAUUUUCGUGCCUUGUGCCCUUAAACCAAUUUUCAUAAACAUUUUCAGAUGAGUCGGUACUAUACGCAAAUAGGGUGGGAGCUACUUGGUGUCAAUAAAGGAUCUUGCAAAUCCUUAGGGUGCCCUAAAGUCUGCUAAACUUCAUUUUGUACAUUUUAUAAUGAUCCGCAUGUGGAUUUAACAUUACAAGCUCGUACAUAAUUAUCAUUUCAGUAUUUUCAGACAAUUGGGUUGUAAUGAUAUUUUUAUAUUCCAAGACUUCCGUUGUGC
rnacentral:lncRNA from 1 species